GUAAACAGAGUCCAGCAGCAGCUACAGCAGCUCAGCAGCAGCAGAUGACUGUCUGUCUCCGUGUCUCCUGUCACUGUGUUCCACAUCAGCAAGGCUCAAUGUUUGUUUUCUGCGUCGUGAAACUUUUCCUUCGACGCAGGUAGAGUACAUUUUGUGAAUGAAAGGAGCUCCACUCGCAUUAUUUCAUGGCUCGACUUUGAAAACCACCGAAAAACUCUGUCGGAUCCGGGAGGCCAGGUUGAUGCUGGUCAGUCACACAGACUGGGACCCUGAUACGUGCUCCUUGAGGUCUUUUCCCACACAGGUUUGAGCACAGCUGUCCAAAGGCUGCGAUGUCAUCAAAAAUGCACUGUUCAAGUAGCGUAGCUCAGGCCAGGCGGAUGGUGCAGCAGCUGAGGAUAGAGGCCAGCAUCGAGAGGAUAAAGGUGUCUAAGGCUUCAUCAGACCUGAUGCGCUACUGUGGAGAACACGCCAAGAAUGACCCGCUGCUCAUGGGCAUCCCCGCUUCAGAAAACCCUUUCAAGGACAAGAAGCCUUGCACUCUUCUGUAAAUGAACACCUGAACUCUUGCUGCUUUCCUUUUGAUUAUCAUGUGGAAAAAAAUAGGACAUGGACAACGGUCUCCUGGGUGAAAGUCCUGUGUUUGUUUGACUCAUCCACCAACACUCCCACCCGUUCCUGGAGGAUUUUUUAUAUCUUUGUUAGACACGUUAUUAUUAUGGAUUUAUUAUAAGAACUGGAUACCGGACCCCAAGAUGGCGCCUAUUCAGUCCAAUGAGAAUUGCUCGCCUGGAGCAUACACCAAAAAAGUUUUCCGGAAUAUGUGGCCCACUGAAUAUGUACAGUAGUGUUUCUCCCGCUGGCCCCACCUGCGAGUUCCUGCUCGGCCCAUAGACUUUAGAUUGUGAUGAGGUCACUGAUUUUUAAAUCCCUUUUCUCAGCUCGAGGAAAGUUUUACAAAUUUAAAACCUACAUUGAUCACAAAUUCAUAAUCGAAUCGUUGUAAUCAACCUUGUUUACAGUUCAAGGUGUCCUGUCAACACUUUUACAGACGUCUCUUUUACAACGGUGGUCACACAAGAGUGGCCACUGGAAAAAAAUUGGAAGCAAGGCCGAGCGGCGGCGGCGUAUCCAGGUCUUAUUAUACAUCUGUGGCUAUUAUACCACGUAUCUUUCAAGAACAGCCACUCUUUGUACUGCGUCGCUUGCUCUGACCAAAUCCAAAAACGUCCACAUUCAACGUAUCCCGUGGUCUACAGAAACGAACAAUGCCAACAGUUUUUCCUGGCGAUUGGACUGCCGUUACACCAAAGAACAGGCAGAAGUCUGAAGCUGUGGCCUGAGAGGAGCUGUGCCAUGGAUGGUAGAGCUCCUGACUCUCUAAUUAUCACAGCGCGCACAAACAAGCCCCCUCAAUCAUUUGUCCAAUCAGAUUUAGGCUUUGAGCUUUCACCUCUUACUUUCAUCAGGCUUGCUUCAGGAAACAGUUGCUGUAGGUUGUGCGCUACUGAUAAUGAGCACCCGAGAUAAUGACAUCCUGUCGCCCGAUGAGCAAACUGUGCUGUCCAUCACAUGAAGACAAAGAGAAAGAGCACAGGUCCAUUGCCACUACUUCUGCUUUAUUUUUUUGUCAUCUAGUCACAAUCAUAAUAGGCUUUAAAAUGGGCCAUUAAAUUGUUCCCAAGUAGCACAGACAGAGCAAUCAAAUUUGUCCUUACCAGAGACAAACAAUUCACUUAAAAUGUUGAUUGGAUUUAAUUUAAGAUAUUGAGAAUUGCUUUUGCCAGUGUUGUGAUAUAGUUCACUUACAGUGUAGAUCAAGGAUAAAUUGACAGUUUUUUUUUUCUACUGUCCUUGUUCCUUCGUCCUAGUUGGAUUUUCCUUUUAUACGACAGACUUUACAAUGCCUACUUCAAUUAAAUCCAAUGCAAAGCUAUUAAAUAUGAUGAAUGUGACGUCUAAAUUGUGAAGUUUUAAUACCUAAGGGGUGAAUUCUCUUGACAAAACAGUCCAAGUGUCUCUUUUUUUACUGAUUUUCUUUGCAAUUGACUUAAAAAGGUACCUCUAAAAAUUAAAUAUGUACAGGUAAAAGUACCGGUAUGAACUUUUGAGAUCACUGCACAUUGUGCAUGACCCUUUUGCAUGAGGUAUUCCUUAAUUUCUAUGUUUUAUUAUGAGGCCAUCAUUGCUGAAAAGGUGUAUUACUGUCCUAUUCAGGCACUUAGAAACCUGUUAACACCAGAUGACUGUUAUACUCUUGAGUAUUUGAAACAUUCCAUGUUUGCUCGAAAACUUACUUUUUAUUUUAUUAUGAGAACCUAUGACUGACUGACUGUGUGUAGUUUUGACUAUAUGUCAUUUGUGUGGUGGUGCUCACACAAAACAUACACAUUUUUGCUAUUUCACCAGCCAGGGCCUUAAUGAUGAAGUGAUCCGGCUUCAACCUCUCUACUACCUUUUCGUCACAUAAGUGCUGUUGUCUAAUACUGUGAAUAAGGAAGGCCCACAGGUGAAGGGAGGCUAUCUUUUAGGCUAUUAACUCUGCAUAUGUCAUCAGAAUUACUCAUGUUCAUUAAUGAAUUGCAUUCACAUCCAUAAAUAUUGUAGCACAUAUGUAUGUCCAUGAACCACAGUAUGUGCUUGCUUUUAAAGCUAGGGUUGGUAAUUUUGAGAAACUAGCAAGAGUACGCUAGAUUUUAAAAAUGAUCCAACCGAAAAACCCAGCCCAGUGUUGCCAUCUCUUUUCCAAUGAAACAUAGCUAGCAGCA